GGAGAGGUGACAGAGCGGCCGAUUGUGCAGCACUGGAAAUGCUGUGUGGGGGAAACUUCACCGGGGGUUCGAAUCCCCCCCUCUCCGCUA
rnacentral:tRNA from 1 species